AGAAUCGCGCGCCGGGUAAAGUACGAAGGAGCGCCAGGAGACGAAGACCAGUCCCUUCAAGAGUUUGUUGUUGGGCUAGUCGAUACAUGGGUUUAAGCACAAGCGUAAGUGGCUCACCAGUGAAUUCGGUGAUAGGUAGCAUGAAGCCGCGAAGGAAGCGAGCGCAGGAGGAGUAAGGCGCCUGGAGGUGAAGAGAAUCGCGCGCCGGGGAAAGUACGAAGGAGCGCCAGGAGACGAAGACCAGUCCCUUCAAGAGUUUGUUGUUGGGCUAGUCGAUACAUGGGUUUAAGCACAAGCGUAAGUGGCUCACCAGUGAAAUCGGCGAUAGGUAGUGUGAAGCCGCGAAGGAAGCAAGCGCAGGAGGAGCAAGGAGGUGGAGAAGAGAAUCGCGCGCCGGGGAAAGUACGAAGGAGCGCCAGGAAAAAAGAGGCGAAGUGUCGCGGAGGAGGAGGGUGGGCAGAGGUACGCUGGUUUCACGUCCUCUGGUCAAACUCGCAAUGCCGUCCAUUCCUCUGUGAGCGGAAUGGACGUACCGGGUUCGUCUCGUGAUAAAAUCGUCCCCGCACGCCGUAUGCUCUAUGUACGAGUAAAAGCAUGCGAUGGUGAGCCGACGAUGGCAGCUCAAUCUCGCGCGCACAAGGGAGGAAAGCGGGCAGGAAGCGUGCCGUCUUCCCACAGAGGGGAGGGGAGGGGGGUGUUUAUUUAAGAAUGGGAGUAAAAGGUUGUACACAAAAGAAAUUUUCAAUAGCAGGUCAGAGCUGUGCCCGUCUCUCUUUCUAGCACCAUUAUUUCUUGUUAUUAAUACAGGUCCCCUUGUCGAAAAUGAAUCCAAGUUGCAGUUUCCCUUGUUUGCCCACCAGUGAUUAGUGCGGUCCAUGUAGUAUAUUAAGACAGCGUAAAAAAUCGCAGCCUUAGUUCUGCAACAUAUAAUUUUUAUGAUCCUGCGAAUAAACAAACUUAAAAUUUGCACCAACUCCUUUCGGCUUGUAGCGCAUUACUUAAUUUCGAGUUUCCUCAAUUCUAGUACUGCAUCUACUAAAGAAUUUAAGCGAUUUCUUCUAAAGUCAUCUGGCUCCUAUAACCAUGCUAUGAGUGGAAGCCCUUUCUCUUUGCCACUGCUACGGCAUACCCAGGGUUCUUCGAUCAGCUGAACUCACGAGCAGUCAGCACAAUCAGCAGCAGUCUCAUGGCCGCGCACAACACAGCAAGUCACAACGUCCAUAAAACUCAAGCUGCCGUUGUCCUUUUGUAGAGUGCUCCAGCCAUGUUUCUUACGAUGGGCUAAAAUGUCAACUUUGUAAUCUUGCAACAAACGCAAUGGCCAACAGUUCAUCUCUACAAAUACAUUUUAUGGCAACAGCUUUAUAGGGCGCCUCCGUGAGCACCGCCUAAGUUCCGUUUUUGCUCAAUGGACCAGUUUGUUACUUACAUCAGACAUUCUCUGCACCCAUUUGCUUAUCUGUCAUUAUACCGCUCCUCUAAACAUCAGUGUACAUA